CCCAGAGAGACACAUACAGGAAGGUCUCAGGUGCUACCACAUGGUCAGGUGAUAAUAAUCCAGAAACCUUCGGAAAAAUUGCCUUACGUGACCUCACCUGCUGGUCCUGGGAGUUACACGAGGAUGAUGAAACCCCUGAGAUGACGUGACCUUCUCAAAAUCCCAGAGUUGAUAAGUAACAGACCAGGAUUCAAACUCAAGUCUGUCUGAUGUCAAAGUCUAUGCUCUGGGCACUUGGCCAGACCACUUACCAGGCCUCAGAGUCCCAGAGAAGACCUUCACCGCCUCACUGGUAACAGACAUUCUCUCCACUGCCUCGGCUCAACUGAGGAGACACUCAGGAGAUGGUCCGCCUGGCUCCUCAGCGCCCCGGCCUCUGGGAGGGUGGCGGGUCCUGGGCGGUGAGUCCUGCUGCUGGAGCUCCGGGCCGAGCCUCUCCUUUUUUCCCCUGUGGCCCUUUCCCUGAACCCUCUGCUGUCCCCUCCAGCCUCCCCUCCACGCCAGCACCUUGCCUCACCCAGCCCUCCCCUCGCCUCACCUGGACUCUGGU